UUUUCACAGUUUCGAAGAGCUGCUCAUUUUUCUUCUCGAGCAUUAUUGCUGAAUAUGUCGUCGUCAACGUUCGAUAUCAAAUAGUCGAGUUUCUAGAAGAAUACGCUCAUGUAAUUUAAAAUGAACACGAUGAUAAGAACUUGAAAAGGAGUAGAAGAUGGAGUCGAAGAUGGUAUAACUUUGAAAGCUUUAGUACUGUACGUUAAAUCCUGCAACGAUAAAAUAUUCGAUUAUUUUCCGUUCGGUUUCCUGAGCGAUCUCUUUACGUAUUGUCGAAUGCUUACGUCAUCUUCAUCAGCGUCUUCGUCGGAAUGCUCAGCAGAAUAAUGAACGUUGCUGAAAAUAUAUUCAGAAGUAGCGUUAUCAGAAGCUGAUUGAAGAAUUAUCUCGUUAUAACUAUAACUUUGAACUCGAUACCUACCAGAAUUCAGAGCUGGAGCCGGAGGUUCCUCUUUGAUAACGUUUUUUAACGCAGACGUAGCAGCUGGUAUCUGUGUAGAGAUUAAGCACGAUAAGUAGAGCUAGAUUCUGAUUCGGUUUGCGUGCAAGUUUCUGUCAUCGGGAUAACUUUCAUCGGCUCGGGUUCAGUUUGAGUGCACUUAUCUAUUCCAGCUCCUGAGGAAUUAGAUUUGAAUUCAGAUUGAAAUAUUAAUACGAGUAUUAACGAAUCGUUAUCUUCGGAGUCGACGGUGUAAAAGUGUACAGAUAAGCUAGGAGUAAUUUUAAGCUGAGUAAACUACAGCAUAGAGAUACCUUUCACUUUAUUCCAAUAAUGCAUCGAUCUGAUCUCUUCCAACUGAAUGUCUUUCCCACCAGCGUAAACCUAUAGCAAAAGAAUCACCUUUGAAUAGAUCGAUUACGUAGUUCGAGUUAACAGUGACAAACAUAUUCCCAUACCAAGUGUUUAGGAUACAUUGGCUUUUUAUUCGCAUCGCCAUCUUCUUCGAAUACUGCAACACGACAGGUCGAUCGAGUUCCUUUUCUUCAAUUAUUGGCGACGACAUUUGAUUUUCUUUUUCGCGAUUGUGUUCGGUGGAAGCUUCACUCUGAACAAAAAUUCGUCAUCAUGGUAUAGAAUACCUAUAUGGAAUUGUCUUCGAGACGAAAAAGUAAUUGUAAACGAAUACCUGCACUUGUGAGAGGAUUCUGGUUCGUGACUUCAAUAUCGGACGAAGGUAUCUAAACAAAACCCAACAGUGAUGUUCACUCGACGUACGAAAUAAUUGCAAAAGGAAGCGAAGUAAAUACGAACAAAACAACAGAUCAGUUUUCCGGAAGAUAGUAGAAUGGCAAAUGAUUAUCGUUCGAUGCGAAAAACUACGUUGGGAGUUUGCUGAUAGGAUGCGUCAAGUUGAAUCGUGAUUUACUGAGCUUUUAUGUCUACCUCACCUCGUCAGUCGUCAUCUGUCCUACCACUUGCGAUAGAAUAUUUAUCAGAUAGUAUGUGUGUUAUGAUCGAAUUAUUUUGAAUUUAUAGGAAUGGUAUUCGUACCUAUUUCGUUCUUUGGCAAAUAAAUUACAAGCAGUGCUGAAAGUUUCAA